AUUGAACGCUGGCGGCAGGCCUAACACAUGCAAGUCGAGCGGAUGAAGGGAGCUUGCUCCUGGAUUCAGCGGCGGACGGGUGAGUAAUGCCUAGGAAUCUGCCUGGUAGUGGGGGAUAACGUCCGGACACGGGCGCUAAUACCGCAUACGUCCUGAGGGAGAAAGUGGGGGUUCUUCGGACCUCACGCUAUCAGAUGAGCCUAGGUCGGAUUAGCUAGUUGGUGGGGUAAAGGCCUACCAAGGCGACGAUCCGUAACUGGUCUGAGAGGAUGAUCAGUCACACUGGAACUUAGACACGGUCCAGACUCCUACGGGAGGCAGCAGUGGGGAAUAUUGGACAAUGGGCGAAAGCCUGAUCCAGCCAUGCCGCGUGUGUGAAGAAGGUCUUCGGAUUGUAAAGCACUUUAAGUUGGGAGGAAGGGCAGUAAGUUAAUACCUUGCUGUUUUGACGUUACCAACAGAAUAAGCACCGGCUAACUUCGUG
rnacentral:rRNA from 1 species